rnacentral:rRNA from 1 species
CCUACGGGAGGCAGCAGUGGGGAAUAUUGCACAAUGGGGGAAACCCUGAUGCAGCGACGCCGCGUGAAGGAAGAAGUAUUUCGGUAUGUAAACUUCUAUCAGCAGGGAAGAAAAUGACGGCACCUGACUAAGAAGCCCCGGCUAACUCCGUGCCAGCAGCGGCGGUAAUACGGAGGGGGCAAGCGUUAUCCGGAUUUACUGGGUGUAAAGGGAGCGUAGGCGGCGAUGCAAGUCAGUAGUGAAAGCCCGGGGCUCAACACCGGGACUGCUAUUGAAACUGUGUUGCUAGAUUGCAGGAGAGGUAAGUGGAAUUCCUGGUGUAGCGGUGAAAUGCGUAGAUAUUAGGAGGAACACCAGUGGCGAAGGCGGCUUACUAGACUGUAAAUGACGCUGAGGCUCGAAAGCGUGGGGAGCAAACAGGAUUAGAUACCCGGGUAGUC